rnacentral:rRNA from 1 species
CACGUAGGGCGCAAGCGUUGUCCGGAAUCAUUGGGCGUAAAGAGCGCGUAGGCGGUCCGGUAAGUCGGUUGUGAAAACUGGGGGCUCAACCCUCAGAGGCCGACCGAUACUGUCGGGCUAGAGUCCGGAAGAGGCGAGUGGAAUUCCUGGUGUAGCGGUGAAAUGCGCAGAUAUCAGGAGGAACACCGGUGGCGAAGGCGGGUCUCUGGGCCGAUGACUGACACUGAGGAGCGAAAGCGUUGGGGAGCGAACAGG